UGAGAGCACAUCCGGUGUUGAAAGAGCUGGGUAGGCUCCUGAAGUGUUAAGCAGAGAGGAGACUAUGUCAUACAGACUUUGGAGCCAUGGACGUAUUUGAUCGGAAGAUCAAUUUUGAUGCACUUUUAAAAUUCUCCCAUAUAACUCCCUCGACACAGCAGCACCUGAAGAAGGUCUAUGCCAGUUUUGCCCUCUGUAUGUUUGUGGUGGCUGCGGGGACCUAUGUCCAUAUGGUCACUCAUUUCACCCAGGCUGGCCUGAGCCCUGCUCUGGAAUUGUGCAUUGCUAUUAAUCCCAGCAUCCUUCCCACUGCCUUCAUGGGUACCGCAUCAUCAUCACCUGUUUCACCCUCAGUGCUCUCUAUGCAAGGCGCUGGAGCUACCUCUGUCUGGGAGGUAUUUUGAUGUCAGCCUUGAACCUGAUGCUUUUGUCUUCCCUGGGGAACCUUUUCUUGGAUCUGUUUAGCUUUUCCAGGCAAACCUAUAUAUGGGACUGGUGGUCAUGUGUGGCUUUGUCCUUUUUGAUACUCAACUCAUUAUUGAAAAGGCUGAAAUGGAGAUAAAUAUUACAUCUGGCACUGUGUUGAUCUCUUCUUGGAUUUUGUUACUCUCUUUUGAAAACUCAUGAUGAUCUUGGCUAUGAAUGAGAAGGACAAGAAGAAAGAGAAGUGAAAUGAACAUCCAGCC